GAUACUUGUCUGAUUAUUGUCUAUAAUAGGGGAGUUAUUCCUAAAUCUUCAUUGAGACCUGUGGGGGAUACACACCUCAGCUGGAGGAUCCAAAAACGUUCUUUUCAACAAAACGCUGUUUUGGACUCCAGCUUCAAUCAGCCCCAGGUAGCACGGCAAAUGAUCAGGAUCAUCUGAGGGGGUCACAAGUUUCCCUUCCCUGCUUUAGGUGUAUAAUGUUAAAAUUACAGAGCACUCUGGUUUAAGAUGACUACGGCCAAAUCAGUCACGAUGGGAAUAAUACAUUGAACCAGCCUUUAAAGAAAAUACCCCAAUAGUGUAAUCCUAUGCAUACUUAGAAGCAAGUUCCACUGAGUUCAAAUGGGCUUAUUCUGAAGAAAGUGAACACAGGAUUGUGGCACCUGAAGUGCUUGCCACUGCUUCUGCAGCAAAUGCAGCAGCAAAUCAACACUUGGAGGGAUAUUCUUAUUUUUUCCCUUGCAAAUGGAUGCAAAGGAUACAGUCUAGGCUUGCAGGUUCAGAUGUCACUAGACAAUUUUCCUCUCAUAUUUGCAAACAGAAUCAGGUCUUCCUUCAUCAUACCAAACUGUUUUAUAGCAGCUCAUAUCCCAAGACGAUCUAUUUCUGUUGCUGAUGGGUAAAGAGACAUGUCCACGUGGUGGGAAAACAGAUAUACUAUUCCAGUGUGUUUACUCCCCACAGUACACUUGCACUGGAGGUUUUAGGAUGUGCUCAUCUCAAAACCAGCAAGUAUGUGUGUCUGGCUAAAAUGAAUACAGGAUGAUUGCUGCACGGGUCUGCACUGCUGACUUCCUAUACAGCAAAGCAGGGUCACCUCUCAAGGAUCUUUUUAAGGUUAAAAGGACAUUUUGUGUUUUCUGUUGGACAGUAAAGGACCCAUUAGGAACUCAGGCAAGAAGCGCUUCCAUGUCACGUUUUGAACAGGACUUCUCCUGUACACUUCCAGGAUGCAUGAGAGUGUGCAUCAAAGAGUUGAAGAGAACAAAAGCUACCACAGAUUUUCUUUUUAAGAAAUAUCAAAUUGCAUCUGUGCAUGUUCAUAUCUCAUAUAUACUCCAAGGUCAGCAGUUAUGAGCUGUUAAAAACCAAUCUGACAGCAAUAAAAAAAAUUAGGCUGCACCUUCGCACUUCUGUCAGCCCAGUCCCAGUUUCAGCCCAAGAAUGUGUUAGAAUUACAAAGAACAAAUAAGCAAAGCUUUGCAUCAGUUCAUUAGUUGCCCAGCUUUCCUGCUAAUGAAUCUUGAAUAAACUUUAGAGUGUGCUGGUAGAGAAAAGAGUCCUUGUUCUUCGGUUUGCAAAUAUUCAAGUGGCUAACUUCUACAGGAAUGAGUUCUCCUAUGCCUAAAUCUGAAAAAGAAACAAAAGCCAGCAUCAGUAAAUGUCAAGGAAAGGACACGCAUUAUAAAGAGUAGCAGCCAUCUUUUGAUACUGGUGGAGAUGCACAUUUCCAUUUGGUAUCUGGGGACAACUGGGCAUGAGUAUAAGCAGUGCAUCAGUGCAGUCCAUGCUAUAAGGUAUUUCACACAACCGUAUCUGGGUCAGAGCUAAAUAAAAAUGCUGAUGAGUCAAAAAUUUACUUUAGAACCAGAUUUUAAACAGUGGAUGUUUAUAAGAUAGGUUUUCCUUGAAGAACAAGGGGUAGGGAGUAAACCUUAACAUUUAUAUCAUGGUAAUUCAUGCUUUCAGCACAGAAGGUAUAACUGAGCAAGCUUGAUAUAGUCUUGGAGUUUCCACUUGCAAUUUCUCCUUAAACUUUUUGAGAAAAAGAAAAGAGAGCUUUCCAGUUGCAAAGAUACAUUUAAAAAUAUGGCUAUAUCCCUACACUCUGCAUUCCACUUCAGCAGGGACAAAAGAGAAUCUGUCACGAACUUUUUUUUUUAGGUUAUUAGAAAAUGGAAGACAGUGGGUAACGAGCAAGAGGGGAAGAAACUGUGGAAACAGGUUUCUUUGGGAGCUGGACUGCAAGCAUUGUUGAUCCAUCUCUGUACCAGAUAGAGGUCAAUCAUUCAUUUAUCUGAAAUACUGAUUUUUUCAUACUACAUUGACUAUCUGCAUCUAUUCUGGGAAUUUAUACCACAGAACUCCCAUGGCUAUAUCUUGCCACAUCAGUACAUUUCAAAAAGGGGAAUGCUGAGAAUGUCAGACCUGCAGAUUCCACUGGUACUACAUGCAGGCUCAGCAUUCUACUGACUCGCGUUGGCAAAGUUUCUGCAAAACUCAAUACAGGAAAGUUCUUAUUCUUGGCAAAUGAGAGAAAGUCAUCAUUCAGUACUUUAAGGGCAGGAGAAUCUGGAGGAACAAGACCAAAAAUUAAAUGCAUAUUUCUGAUUGUAUAAAUUGUAAUUAUUCAGGCAAAACGACAUAAAACUUCACUUGUAGUAUUUUCUCAUAGAAGGUGCAUUUGGAAAA